rnacentral:misc_RNA from 1 species
UUAAGUUCAGCGGGUAUCCCUACCUGAUCCGAGGUCAACCUUAUGGUAAGUUGGGGUUGUUGGCAAGUACCAUCAAAGACCCUGUCGCGAGAAGAAAUUACUACGCGUAGAGCUUCAGAGCACCGCCACUAGUUUUGAGAGAGGCCUACCAGGCCAGCUCCAAGUCCACCACGAGGGUGAUUUGGUCAUUAUGACGCUCG